CCUACGGGUGGCAGCAGUGGGGAAUAUUGCGCAAUGGGCGAAAGCCUGACGCAGCGACGCCGCGUGAGGGAUGAAGGUCUUCGGAUCGUAAACCUCUGUCAGCAGGGAAGAACGGUCACUGUGCUAAUCAGCAGUUAAUUGACGGUACCUGCAAAGGAAGUACCGGCUAACUCCGUGCCAGCAGCCGCGGUAAUACGGAGGGUGCGAGCGUUAAUCGGAAUUACUGGGCGUAAAGCGCGCGUAGGCGGGAUGUCAAGUCAAGGGUGAAAUCCCCGCGCUCAACGUGGGAACUGCCUUUGAAACUGGCAAACUGGAGUGUGUGAGAGGAUAGUGGAAUGCCAGGUGUAGGAGUGAAAUCCGUAGAUAUCUGGAGGAACAUCAGUGGCGAAGGCGACUAUCUGGCACAUAACUGACGCUGAGGAGCGAAAGCGUGGGUAGCAAACAGGAUUAGAUACCCUAGUAUUC
rnacentral:rRNA from 1 species